CUGUCUGAUUGCUGAUUCCUUAAUCAGACAAAUUACAAGAAUAAACAAUAUCAUAAAGUCCUUUCAUCAGAAAUUAUUUACAGUAUACAAAUUGCAAUCACGGUUCCUUAUUAUAAAUAUCUCCUGAUACAGUUCUAGAAAACAAGGUAUACAAAUUAUAUUGGGACAAAACAUUGAUAAAACACGUUACCAUAAUAGAUUUAGUCAAUUUGAUGGUCAGGUAGUAAUGCAAGUACUUAUCACCUUUGAGGAUCAAGUGCAAUUCUGAACCCCUGAAGCAUGGAUAUUCAUGGUUGACUUCAACAUGAUGACAUUCAAGCUUCUGAUUGACUACUACAUGGAUGUUGGCAGCCUGUGAUAGUUCUACUACUGGCCAUCAUCAAAUAUAUGCCUUGUGUAAUUCACUGGUAAAAUUAAAGAUAAUCAUGAUAUAUGCAGUUUUCUAUUCUUUGUCUAUCAUAUUUGUUGCUUCUCUAACUCAACAUAACACAACACACAUUACAAAAACUGCUAAUUAUUCAAACAUGCAAAGAAAAAAAAACUACUAAGUAUAUAGACUUAUAAAAGAUUGGUGCAAGUGGUAAGUGACCAUAGUUACAUUUGCUAUCAGAUGGAUUUUGGUUUUGACC
rnacentral:lncRNA from 1 species